AUUGAACGCUGGCGGCAGGCCUAACACAUGCAAGUCGAACGAGUGGCGGACGGGUGAGUAAUGUCUGGGAAACUGCCUGAUGGAGGGGGAUAACUACUGGAAACGGUAGCUACUACCGCAUACCAUCGGAUGUGCCCAGAUGGGAUUAGCUAGUAGGUGGGGUAAAGGCUCACUUAGGCGACGAUCCCUAGCUGGUCUGAGAGGAUGACUCGCCCCUCUGGAACUGUGACCAGGUCCAGACUCCGACGUGAGGCAGCAGGGGGGAAUAAUGCACAAUGGUCGCAAGCCAGAUGAAGCCAUGCCGCGUGCAUGAAGAAAGCCUUCGAGUUGUAAAGUACUUACAGCGGGGAGGCGUUACCCGCCGAAGAAGCACCGACUAACUCCGGGCCAGCAGCCGCGGUAAUUC
rnacentral:rRNA from 1 species